GCAGCUGCUGUUAAUUCCUGAGCCAAAUUAUGUCCAAACGGCUCCUCAAUGUUUAGAAUCCACGACAAAGAGUUAUCCAGUGACCAAUCAUUAUUACAGUUCUUACCAGGCAUCGUGGAUUUGAUCUCCUUCCCCAACCCAACUUCCUCCACUGUCCCCUUUGGGCCAUAAAAACUUCAGCUACAAUACACCAACAGAUCAGCACCUCCCAGGGAUGACGCAGCCAAAACAGAGAUCAGCUUCAAAGGCUGGUGAAUAUAAGAAUGGAUUCACUUCAAACAACUGCAAAGUAUUCCAGACUUUGCCUUCCCAGCCCUAAAUAUUUGCAGUGGUUCA